rnacentral:rRNA from 1 species
AUUGAACGCUGGCGGCAGGCCUAACACAUGCAAGUCGAACGGUAGCACAGAGGAGCUUGCUCCUUGGGUGACGAGUGGCGGACGGGUGAGUAAUGUCUGGGAAACUGCCCGAUGGAGGGGGAUAACUACUGGAAACGGUAGCUAAUACCGCAUAACGUCGCAAGACCAAAGAGGGGGACCUUCGGGCCUCUUGCCAUCGGACGUGCCCAGAUGGGAUUAGCUAGUAGGUGGGGUAACGGCUCACCUAGGCGACGAUCCCUAGCUGGUCUGAGAGGAUGACCAGCCACACUGGAACUGAGACACGGUCCAGACUCCUACGGGAGGCAGCAGUGGGGAAUAUUGCACAAUGGGCGCAAGCCUGAUGCAGCCAUGCCGCGUGUAUGAAGAAGGCCUUCGGGUUGUAAAGUACUUUCAGCGAGGAGGAAGGCGUUGUGGUUAAUAACCGCAACGAUUGACGUUACUCGCAGAAGAAGCACCGGCUAACUCCGUGCCAGCCGCCGCGGUAAAAGGG